GAGAUUUAAGGGGGUGGGAGGGGGCUUCAAGGCAGCAGCAGGGGGCCAGGGCUUCAAGGGGGCAGCCAUUUUUUAAAAUAGGAACAGCCAUCGGAGGAGCAAUUUCUUCAAUAAUUACGGCGGCAGUGUGUGGAAAGCGCGGGAGGGUUCCUCUGGUUCCCUAUCAAUGAGGAUCAAAACUUCAAAGCAGUUCCUGAUGUUCUCCUUGAAACUGGUCAUCGCGAGAGGAACUGUCACUGGAUGCCGCCAUCUCGUUUGGCAGUGACUUGCAAGCGGGCCUUCUCUGUAGUCGCCCCUGGGCUCUGGAAUGCGCUCCCUAUGUUCAUGAGUCAACAUCUUUACCCGCCUUUAAAAGAGCCAUCAAGAAAAGAGAGGCAUGGAUUGUGUAGACAGGAGGGAGCUGUUGGAUUUUGCUUGCCGGAGAUUGUCAGCUGGGUGAACAAUAUUCUAGUAAAAUACCCCUGUUUUUUCUUUCAACAUGCCUAGCAGUAGGAGCACACAUAUUUUAAAGCAACAACAAGUAAAGGUGACCUUAAGCUUGUUAGCCACCUAAAAAUGGAUAAAGGAACCUUACCCUGUGAAUUGUUCCUGCUGUUUUAGCUUCUAUGCAUCUACAGAGUACUGAAGCAACCAUUACCAAUAACUUACCUUUACAGUUACUUGUACUUACAAUUUUCUAUCUUUUGGCAUCCCACACAAGCUCUGAAAAAUAAGGAGUGCUCGUCCAAAGCAAACAUUUACAAUAAAUCCCAGACAUUUCAGUUAUCAUUGCUGGAUGGCGAGAGCCCAAUGAUAAGCAUUUCCUUUUCCCAACUGUGAAAGUACUAAUUUAUGACGGCAUCAGCUUGGCAUUAAAGAAAGGAGAUGGAGGUAUGGAAGG